UACAGCCAUAUCAAGUUAAAACACUGGUUCUAAUACAAUCACUGAAGUGAAGCAAUGUUGAGCCUGGUCAGUACCUAGAUGGGUGACUGCUUGGCAAUACCAGGUGCUGUA
rnacentral:rRNA from 1 species